CUGGUGUUUCUCUCUCUGCUGUCAAAACUCAAAACGACGUCGCGGACUCUCUCUCCACCCAUGUUGGUUGAAACUUCUAACACCGCAAGCCUCAACUAACUCACACUCCCCCAGCUCACAGUGAUAGCACAUCAUUAUCUAUCUAAAAAUCUUAGAUUUUUAAAUUUCCUAUAUCUGAUGCAUAAUCUAAGCCCUAACCCUAAUCCUAGUCUCAUCCGAUUCUCUUUCAAUCCAACCCUUCCUCGUCUCAAUGUCCAACAAAUAAAUGGAGAUUUUUGUGUCUUAGGCAUGAAGAAUCUUCAUCUGCAAUACCCGAGUCCGAGUUUGUAGAAGAUAAAUUAUCAGAAGAAUCAGUGAAGCCUGAAUUCAAUCAAAUAAAUGAUGUGCAGAAAGAUUGGAUUUCAAGACUUAGAAAGGUUACAGAUGCACUUUUUUGGUCCAUAAUUAACCUUGGACAGUGCCACGAACAGCAAAGAACAUAAUACAGAGAAAGAGGCAUUGAGUAGUUUGCAAAGCCCGACCUUGUGUGCUUCAUUUUUGUGUUGAAGAUCAUUUUAUCCUAGGAGGCAGACGUCCACGAGUCUCAAAGCACCACAGUGAUUGUGUAAGGAGCGAAAUCUACUUUAAGGAGAUUGUGUAAAACACAAGACUUGAUCUCGAUUGUUCAUCCUUUCAUGCAUUUGGUCUCAAGCAUGGUAAGGUGUACUUGACUGACUGGGAAGAUUAUGUUUGGGUUCAAUUUUACAACCCACCAUGUCAGUACAGUCCAGGCAAUUUGGCUAAAACUUGAAGAUGCUUGGAAGCAGUGGACUACAUCUUUUAAGGACUGCCUGCUGCAUCUCAGGCAUCUGGAAGUGGCUUUCAUUCCAGCAGGACCAGCUGACCUCACAUCGGAAGUUCUUCCUGCCAUUAAGAACUUGGCUAAAUAUGGAGGAGUGAUGCUGUGGUCAAAGUAUUUUGAUGAUCUAACUGGCUUAAGCUCUUCCAACAAGAAUGAUGUCUAAAUUACUUCCUAAUAAAUUCCUGUACUUCCUUGCUGUAUUGGUCAUUGAACUGAUGCUUGUGUACUUUGGUUUUAUAAUUUGAUGUAGUACAAAUAUAGAGUAUAGAAUCACUUUAAACUGUCGCCUACUUGUUUAUGUAUGAUCUCAUUUUUACA